rnacentral:rRNA from 1 species
UACGUCCACACCUUUUAGGUGUGGGCCAGUUGGCUGUCAUACUUCCAAGAAAAGCUCGAACUACUGUAAAGCAUCAAAUACCUGUACCGUAAACCGACACAGGUGGGUUGGUAGAGUAUACCAAGGGGCGCGAGAUAACUCUCUCUAAGGAACUCGGCAAAAUGACCCCGUAACUUCGGGAGAAGGGGUGCCAAGUAACUAAAAUUGCUUGGUCGCAGUGACCAGGCCCUGGCGACUGUUUAUCAAAAACACAGGUCUCCGCAAAGUCGUAAGACAACAUAUGGGGGCUGACGCCUGCCCAGUGCCGGAAGGUUAAAGAAGUUGGUUAUUCAUUCGUGGAGAAGCUGACGACUGAAGCCCCGGUGAACGGCGGCCGUAACUAUAACGGUCCUAAGGUAGCGAAAUUCCUUGUCGGGUAAGUUCCGACCCGCACGAAAGGCGUAACGAUCAGGGCACUGUCUCGGAGAGAGACUCGGUGAAAUAGACAUGUCUGUGAAGAUGCGGACUACCUGCACCUGGACAGAAAGACCCUAUGAAGCUUGACUGUAGCCUGGAAUUGGGUUCGGGCUCUUCUUGCGCAGCCUAGGUGGGAGGCGUUGAAAGCUUUCUUUUGGGAAAGCUGGAGCCAUCAGUGAGAGACCACUCUGGAGGAGCUAGAAUUCUAAUGGCGUUCCUUGAAGCAGGACGCUUGACAGUUUCAGGUGGGCAGUUUGACUGGGGCGGUCACCUCCUAAAAGGUAACGGAGGUGUGCAAAGGUUCCCUCAGGCUGGACGGAAAUCAGCCGUAGAGUGUAAAGGCAGAAGGGAGCUUGACUGCAAGACCUACAAGUCGAGCAGGGGCGAAAGCCGGCCUUAGUGAUCCGACGGUUCCAUGUGGAAGGGCCGUCGCUCAACGGAUAAAAGUUACUCUAAGGAUAACAGGCUAUCUUCCCCAAGAGUUCACAUCGACGGGAAGGUUUGGCACCUCGAUGUCGGCUCAUCGCAACCUGGGGCGGUAGUACGUCCCAAGGGUUGGGCUGUUCGCCCAUGAAAGCGGUACGUGAGCUGGGUUCAGAACGUCGUGAGACAGUUCGGUCCAUAUCCGGUGUAGGCGUUAGAGCAUUGAGAGGAGCCUUCCAUAGUACGAGAGGACCUGGAAGGACGCACCUCUGGUAUACCAGUUAUCAUGCCAAUGGUACACGCUGGGUAGCCAUGUGCGGAGUGGAUAACCGCUGAAAGCAUCUAAGUGGGAAGCCCACCUCAAGAUGAGUGCUCUCCAUCAGGUCACAGGAAGACAACCUGUUUGAUAGGCAGAAGGUGUAAGGCUAGUAAUAGUUUCAGCUGAUCUGUACUAAUAGACCGAUUGAUUUU